rnacentral:lncRNA from 1 species
AUGCCACCUAAGAAGCUGGGCUUAAGCAGCGAGGCUCUUUUCCAUGUCCUUACGACUCCAGAGGAUCCUGAUGGUUUCCUGCACCAGCGACCACUGUCUUGUCCAGUCGUGCUUGUUUCUGAGGACAACUGCAUGAUCGCCAUUGGAAACAGGUUUGAUGAGGGACUGCUCUACCUCAUAGCAUAUUACUAUGCCCUGCACCUCACUUACCCAAAGUGUAUUUCCACACUUCUGUCAGUACUGCAAACACAAAUUCUUCAAGAUUCCAUUCAUGAGCAAGAUUUGACCCCUUCCUACAAAAAAGCCAUUGGUGAGUGGAAGUCCUUCAUUGAGUGAGUGAGUGAGUCUCUUUGUUUCUUUUGUGGUUGUUUCUUGACACCGCCUCACUCUCUAUCUCAUGUAGGACUUUCCAAGAAAGUCAAAGUUCUGUUUAAUAUAAGGUUUAUCACUGUUAGCCACAUUUGUUGGUGAAACUGAAAACUUUUCCUGUGGGAUAAUAAUUUCAGAUGGAUGUUUAAUCAAACAAUUGUAUUGCAAAGUGAAUAAAAAAUAUUAAAAAUGAGAAUGUCUUGGUGUCUUGAUUUAAGACAAAGUCACUUAUUUUUAUAAUGCUAUUUGAAGAAAUUGUGUCUUAUUUUAACUACUUUUAUACUUGUUAUUAAUCCCAGAUUAAGGUGUCAUUUCUUAAAGUUAACUCAGUCAAGAGACCAAAAUUCUAAUUUUAAGUAACUUAAUCUGGGUUAAAGUGGGUUUUCAUUUCUAUUUAUAGAAGAAUUCACUUAAAUUUAAAAAUUUCUGUCUAGUUUUAAGGCCCAUUUUAGUCUGUCAGAGGCAAGAACUUUGUGCUUAUUUUGAGAAUUCUUGUCAAGUAAAAAAGCUUACCCCAUUUUCGGAUUUUUUUGCUAGAUAUAAGAUAAUUUGAUUGAAUUUAAGAAUAUUUUGCUUCUUUCUAGUAGGCCUGUUUUUGCAGUGCACUGCUUAAUUUGCAAAGUGUUUGCUUUUCUCUCGCGGGAAAGGAGCUGUUGGAACAAAGCAGGUGGCAGACAGGUGGCGGUGUCCAUGAGUAGAUGCACACAUCCUUCUCCCAGUGAUAUGUAGAAAUCAGAACCUGGUCAUGAUUUCUGGAAAGAGACAUUGCUGUUGAGUUUUACAAAUAUAUUUUUUUGUGCUUUGAACACCACAAGUUGAGUGCCAUCUAGUUCAGUUAUAUUGGGGAUUUUGGGAGACAUGGCUUUAGGUUUAGCAGACGUUAUAGUGCUGAGAGAUUGUACUGUUCCUUCUGUUCUGUGUUGCUGUCAGCUGUCAUUUCAGUCUAUGCUUGAUUGAUCUCCACUUUUCAUUCGCCCCAGAUUUUGAUCCACCUCCAAGUCUAGUUUGAUCAGCUCCUCUGGAAUCCUGGUGGUCACAUCCAUCCAACUCCUCAGGCACAACCUCCACCUCAAUCUUCCUUGUAUCUUUACUGUCAGCUGUGUCUUUUACAGUAACUCCAUCAGCUAUCUCUAUCCCUGUACUCACCUCAUUUAUUUCACAACGGCCAAACACUUUUCCCUACAGUUUUUACUUCAUUGUGCAAUAAAUAACAAAUAAAUUAAUUAAAUGUAUUUAUUUAAUCAGGCAUUAUACCAACCUCUGUAAUUUGUAUGAAAAUAUUUUAGUCAUAUUUGCUGAAACUUUCACUAUAUUCUGACAGAUAAUCUGUGAAAAAAAUCAACAGGGCCUGAACAAAAACAACCAAUCAGAGCCAAGAAAGCUUCCAAUCCUAAAGUGACUAUAUAUCUUUUUGGCUCAACACACUUUUAUAAAAAUUACCUAUUACAUUUUUAAAGCGAGAGUGAAGAUAAUGGCAUUAUAUGAAACUGGAUCACAUAAAAGGCAGGCUUCAAAAAUUCCUCAUAGUGCAACUUAAUUGAUUUUUUUAAGUUUUUGUCACAAAACUGGAAACAGGUACCAACCACUAAUAUACCUGGAAAUUUACUGGUAUAAUACAGGACAAUGUGAAAAAAAUUUAAGAGUGCGAAGAUUUACCGUUACAGAAAUCAGUUUUAGCAUUAUGGUAAAUGUUAAAUGGACCUGUACUUGUAUAGCGCCUUUCUAGUUAUAAUUAUAGAUGCAACUCCAUCGGUACGCAAACCCCUGGAUGGAUCUAAUUAUACCAUAAACUAGUCGAUGGUACGAUUCCAAAGACAUGAAUCUAUUGACUAAAGCUUUGCUGCUCACAGUGUCUCCAUUUACAGUUCACCAUCAAAUCUAAAAUCUAAAGUUUGGAAGACAUUUGGAUUCUAUAAGAAGGAAGGAAAGUUGGACAAAAGUCAAUCCAUUGAUUAUAUCUGUCAGAGAGCAAUGAAGUAUAGCAGUAGCACGACAAAUCUUAACACUUACCUGGUGAGACGGCACGGUGACACCUAUGCAUGCGACGAGGAGUCUGUGGAUGCUAAUACAGCUAGCACAAGCAAGAACACGCAAGACAUGGGCAGUAUACACUUUCCAGCCACAAUUUAGCUACAACUGGGCGAGGUAAUUCUGAUUUGUCUUCCAUUUUUUUUUCCCAUAAAGAAAAAUACUUGGGAUUCCCAAAGUUAAGGAUUUGAAGGUAAGCAAUGCCACUUUUAUAGAACUGGCUUAUUUAAAUUUAGAAUGGAAAAUAAAUGCCUACAUUAAAUGAAGAACUGUAUCAAAUUGCAUCAUAUUGCAUUGAAUCCUAUGAAAUUGUUCCAAAUUAAAAUAAAUCUUGUAGCCCAUGUAUCUAGAUACUUAACAAAUCGUCUUAGAAGGGAGAGAGGCACUCCCCUAGAAAAACAUCACUCCCCUCAUCAAUGGACAAUGGCAGAUAAAACAGCAUGCAAUAGCUUUGAAG